UACGUAGGUGGCAAGCGUUGUUCGGAAUUAUUGGGCGUAAAGGGCGCGUAGGCGGUCUUGUAAGUCAGCUGUGAAAGCCCGGGGCUCAACCCCGGAGGGUCGGCUGAUACUGCAGGACUGGAGUACGGAAGAGGCGAGUGGAAUUCCUGGUGUAGCGGUGAAAUGCGCAGAUAUCAGGAGGAACACCAAUUGCGAAGGCAGCUCGCUGGGACGUUACUGACGCUGAGACGCGAAAGCGUGGGGAGCAAACAGG
rnacentral:rRNA from 1 species